rnacentral:rRNA from 1 species
CAGGCCUAACACAUGCAAGUCGAGCGGAUGAGAGGAGCUUGCUCCUUGAUUUAGCGGCGGACGGGUGAGUAAUGCCUAGGAAUCUGCCUGGUAGUGGGGGAUAACGUUCCGAAAGGAACGCUAAUACCGCAUACGUCCUACGGGAGAAAGCAGGGGACCUUCGGGCCUUGCGCUAUCAGAUGAGCCUAGGUCGGAUUAGCUAGUUGGUGAGGUAAUGGCUCACCAAGGCGACGAUCCGUAACUGGUCUGAGAGGAUGAUCAGUCACACUGGAACUGAGACACGGUCCAGACUCCUACGGGAGGCAGCAGUGGGGAAUAUUGGACAAUGGGCGAAAGCCUGAUCCAGCCAUGCCGCGUGUGUGAAGAAGGUCUUCGGAUUGUAAAGCACUUUAAGUUGGGAGGAAGGGUUGUAGAUUAAUACUCUGCAGUUUUGACGUUACCGACAGAAUAAGCACCGGCUAACUUCGUGCCAGCAGCCGCGGUAAUAA